GAGUCCCUAUCUUCUUCGAAUCCUUGCGUUCCACGUGAGGGGUUGAUGUAGAAAAGACGGGGUCGU
rnacentral:ncRNA from 1 species